UUUAUCUAUCUAGGCAUGUCAGAUAAAGAACUAACACGACUCGAGAUGGCCACGUUACUGUUUGUGAAUGAUCGUCAACACAGUCAGUUGAUGGACUUGAUGCCAGAGAAGUCGGGGAUGACAGGCCACGGCAAGGAUCUUUUUGAACCCACACUGAAAGAUGUGGCAAAUUACAAGGCACCAAAUUUUGAACCUGGAGGUGGCCUCCAGCAAGGAACGUACCAACCUAAAGAUGAAUUAUGGGAAGAGGAGUUUGAUCCAGUACAUGUGUUGCUGAGAGCUGUCUAUAAGAGUGACUUCCAGUCAGCAAUGGAUAGAUAGAUACACUGAAUUUUUAAGGAAGAAGAGGAACUUCAAGGGAAAGAGUCAGCCUUGGCCACCUUUCAAACCACCUGGGGAUGUUCUCAAAUGUUACAAAGCCAUGUAGAGAAUACUUCACUGCAAGACACUGCAUUCUCUUCUGUUUAUAGUCUUACAAAAGGCACUGAAAGAUGCUACCAUACCAGUGAGUGUUUGUUACUAUGCCAUACAUCUGUUGGAGCUGGCCAUCACUGUGCCCAACCCAGGCAGUAAUAGAAGGAUGAAGCCAUCGCCAGCCUCUGUACCAGACAGGAACUAUAAGGAAUGGUUCUCUGGUAGUGACAUCUUGCAGAAUGUCAAGGAGACAAUCCGAGAUGUUGAGAUACCCCUCAUGCACGUGAAUCUCGAGCAGGAGGGACCACUGUCCAUGACGAUGGAUACAUCAUUUGAAGAGAUGUUUCAGUUGGCACCAAGUGCACUUG